UACGUAGGGUGCAAGCGUUGUCCGGAAUUAUUGGGCGUAAAGAGCUCGUAGGCGGUCUGUCGCGUCGGCUGUGAAAACCCGGGGCUCAACCCCGGGACUGCGUCCGAUACUCCCGAGCUGGAGGCAGGUAGGGGAGAUCGGAAUUCCUGGUGUAGCGGUGAAAUGCGCAGAUAUCAGGAGGAACACCUGCGGUGUAGACGGCUAUCUGGACGGCCACUGACGCUGAGACACGAAAAGCGUGG
rnacentral:rRNA from 1 species